AUUGAACGCUGGCGGCAUGCCUUGCACAUGCAAGUCGAGUGGCAGCACGGGUGCUUGCACCUGGUGGCGAGUGGCGAACGGGUGAGUAAUACAUCGGAACAUGUCCUGUAGUGGGGGAUAGCCCGGCGAAAGCCGGAUUAAUACCGCAUACGAUCUACGGAUGAAAGCGGGGGACCUUCGGGCCUCGCGCUAUAGGGUUGGCCGAUGGCUGAUUAGCUAGUUGGUGGGGUAAAGGCCUACCAAGGCGACGAUCAGUAGCUGGUCUGAGAGGACGACCAGCCACACUGGGACUGAGACACGGCCCAGACUCCUACGGGAGGCAGCAGUGGGGAAUUUUGGACAAUGGGCGAAAGCCUGAUCCAGCAAUGCCGCGUGUGUGAAGAAGGCCUUCGGGUUGUAAAGCACUUUUGUCCGGAAAGAAAUCCUUGGCCCUAAUACGGUCGGGGGAUGACGGUACCGGAAGAAUAAGCACCGGCUAACUACGUG
rnacentral:rRNA from 1 species